rnacentral:rRNA from 1 species
GACGAACGCUGGCGGCGUGCUUAACACAUGCAAGUCGAACGGAAAGGCCCUGCUUUUGUGGGGUGCUCGAGUGGCGAACGGGUGAGUAACACGUGAGUAACCUGCCCUUGACUUUGGGAUAACUUCAGGAAACUGGGGCUAAUACCGGAUAGGAGCUCCUGCUGCAUGGUGGGGGUUGGAACGUUUCGGCGGUUGGGGAUGGACUCGCGGCUUAUCAGCUUGUUGGUGGGGUAGUGGCUUACCAAGGCUUUGACGGGUAGCCGGCCUGAGAGGGUGACCGGCCACAUUGGGACUGAGAUACGGCCCAGACUCCUACGGGAGGCAGCAGUGGGGAAGAUUGCACAAUGGGCGGAAGCCUGAUGCAGCAACGCCGCGUGCGGGAUGACGGCCUUCGGGUUGUAAACCGCUUUCGCCUGUGACGAAGCGUGAGUGACGGUAAUGGGUAAAGAAGCACCGGCUAACUACGUG